rnacentral:tRNA from 1 species
CAGCGUGCUGGGCAGCACGCCGCUGCCGUCCGCGUCGGUGGACGGGCUCUCCGGCCUGGCCGAGAUCCUCGCCCGGCACGCGUCC